ACAGAGUUGUGCAACCAUCACCACAAUCAAUUUUAGAGCAUUUUCAUCAUCUCCAAAAGAAACCCCAUAACUAUUAGCAACUCCUCAUUUCCUCCCACCCCCUACCUCCAGCCCUAGGCACCAUCAAUCUAUUUUCCAUUCAUAUGGAUUUGCCUAUUCUAGGCAUUUCAUAUAAACAGAAGACCUACAUUCUUUUAUAUAACCUUUACCAUGAUCCUAAAAGUUAGGCAUGUUAUUACUUCUAUUUUACAGAUAAAUUUACAGAGAAUCAAGCUGUUUAAAUGAUUUGCCAAUAACUUUAAACCCUGCUCAUCAUUGAACUCCAUUAUGCUAUACUGCAUCCCAAUUAUAAAGAAUAAUCAUGCCAUGAUUUGUGGCAGGGAAGGAGUGUUUGUUUGCUUAUCUUUUAAUGACUAUUAUGGCAACAAACUGAUGUCUUUAAAACAGGCUCCUUUACUGAAAUGACAGGUACUCAGGUGUCAGAAAGCUUCAGGUUUGAAGCUCAGAUCUACCACUUACUGGAUAUAUACAAAAUAUAUACUGCUUAGUUCCUCUUGAGUCCCAGCAUCUUUAAUCUAUAAAAUGGGAAUAACAAAUUCCUGUUUGCUGGGAGGAGUCAAAAGGAGAUUAACAUAUAUGAAAGCUCUUCUCACAACUUUACAUAGUCCAUGUCCUGCCAGUGUAGUUGUACUUGCUUAGAAGUGAAGUUAUAGCUAUAAUUGGGCAGCCACAGAAAUUAUGUUCACAUGUCUGGGUGUUCUGGAUACCAUCCAGGAAAAAAUUAUUGUAACUUGCACUUUUCGGUAUCCACAUUACAACCCAGGAGUGGCCAAGACCCUGGGAGAAUCUGCUACAAUGAGAACGAGAAUAAAGGGAACAUAUUCUCCAGGACAGAAAAGCAUAUGCAGAGUAUCUUCUAUCGGCUUCUGAUCUCCACUGGGCAGAGCAGCUUGUUACAGGCACCUAGAAAGAACCAGCUGAGCCAGUGUAAGUUUGAAGUUCCUUGGGAAAGAAGAUAAGCUGGCUGAGUUUCUGUAGGCAAAGAGCCAGUAAUGAGGUUUCCAGCAUUCCAUCACAUGUCCUUUUCAUCACUUUCAGCUCAGCCAGAGACAGCAGAGCCUCAUACGCAGGGGCCAAGUGUGUACUUGAGAGACCUGAAGAGGUAGAAUGAAAAGUAUUGUGAAUGAAUGAAUUGUACUUUUGUUCCAAUGACCUGUUCCCCACCCUACCCUGUCCUUAGCAAUAAAUAUAUUAAAAGCUAGAUAGGAGAGUACAGAGAAGACAGUGGAGCCAGAGGGGAAGUUACAUUACAUGUGACUAGUUAAGGUACAUAGCCAGAAAAGACCAUAAGAGAAAACAGUCCUGAACUCUAGGUGAAAUCAAGUGCAUAUUUCAGCCUUAAAAAAUUAUCCUAAAAACCUCUGAUUCUGCCAUUUCCUAAGUGCAUGGACAAGUGACAACCUCUCUGAACCUACAUUUCCAGAUAGGAUUGUUACUGGAACCAUAACUUAUAGCCAUGCAAGCUGCAACGUGCACAUGUCCAGUAGACUCCAAUUAUAUACACAAGGGGCCAGCAAACUUGUUUUGUCAGGGGCCAGAUAUCAAGCAUUUUAUAUUUUAUAGGUCAUACAAUCUUUACUGAAAUAGUCAACUCUGCCAUUGUAGUGCAAAAGCAGCCAUAGACAACACAUAAAUACAUAAAUGGAUGUGGCUCUGAUUCAAUAAAACUAUUUAUGGUCAUGAAAUUCAUGAAAUUUGAAUUUCAUGUGAUUUUCAUAUAAAAGUUUCUUUUCCGAUUUUUCUUUCAACAAACUGAAAAUGUGAAAAGCAUUUUUAGCUUAUAGACUAUAUAAAAAUGGACGGUGGGACAGAUUUGCCCACAGGCCAUGGUUUGCAGACACCCCCCAUCCCCACUCACAGCAUGGACCAAAAUGUUUGAUACCCUCUACAGAGGUGCAGUAUGGCGUCCAGAUUAUUGUAAAGAGCAAAUAAGUACUUGUAAAGGCAUUAAUGUAGUGCCUGCCCCUUAUAAGUGUUCAGCAAAUGGUUAUUAUUACAAUUAGCUCUUUCAAAAAUAAUGAAUAUUAACUCUGUAUUUGCCACUGACCUUUGUGGGGGAAAGCCAUUAUGUUUUGGUUGUUUAACAUUUCUACUACAUUAAACUUGUACUGUAAUUAAAAUAUAUAUUAAAAAUAAAAACUAAAAAACUGGUUUGGACAGAUAGUGGCACUAGUAGGCCACAGAUUUUUUUGGGUUUUUUCUAAUGUCCUGGUGUUGCUUCUUCAAUUCCUAGAUAUUUCUUUAGUACUUGGUCUGUGCUUCUGGGUGCUCCAUAAAUGAAUGACACUAAGUCUUUUCUCUCUAGGAGAUCUUGGUAUUCUUCAAAGUGAUUAUACACACCCCAGUGGUAGCCAAAACCUUCUCUUUUUAUUAAUUUUUCAUCACAGCCUUUAAAUUUCUGUUUUGUUAUAUGUUUUAUAGUGUGCCACACUGUGCCACAGUAAUAUGGUUACACAAUGAUUUAUAAAUAUGUAAAUAUUAAGAUAAUGGGUGAGUACGCAAAAUGAUUUUAAACGAUGGUGUCAGCAAGCAAAGUUUUGAAACCACUGGUUUAGGAAGUAAACAGAUAAAUAUAUCCCAAUGGGAAACCAGAGUUGGCAUGAGUGAUGAAGGCUCUUAUUUACAAUGACACAAGUGUUUUCAGGACAUGAACUGACAUUUAGUCUGGUGUCUUAUUUGGACAUUUAAUGUAAGUACAUUGUGUGAGAAACAAGAUAGUUUACAUUUUUUUUUUAAUUUCAUAAGAACACAACAGCUGUAUGAACCAGAUAAUAUUAUCCUUAUUUUAUAGAUGAGGAACCAAGGUUUAAUUCAGAGAAGUUAAGCAACUUGUAAAGGUCAGCUUGAAUGAAUCAGGACAGUCUAACUAUAAAGCAUGACAUUUUCCACUUUAGCCUUCAUUGCAUUGAAGAAGUUCAUUAAAAAAAAAAUGAUUAGUCUCUGGUAUUCCUACUCUCAAGUUAGUCUUUUUUCCAUCACAUGUACUUAUGUUAUUAAGUGCUAAAUGGAUAAAAUUUCACUCCUCCAGAGUUCUGUGGUUAACCCCCUACCAUCUCUUUGCAUAUGCUUCUUACUCUGAUUGGAGCACUUGUUGUUUGGAUAUCUCGAUAUCUCCUACUCAUCCAUUAAGACGCAGCUUAAGGCUCAUCCCCUCCUUCCAGAAGCCUUCAUGACCUCAGUCCCCAGACUGAGUUAUUAGAUGCCAUUCCUCUCAGCCUCUAUAGCACCUUAAUGAAAGUCCUUAUAAAAAUAUACUAUGCAGAGCUUUGGGGUCGUCCCUGGUCGUGUCUUGGUUCCUGAACCUCACAACCCGGUGAUGGCGACGUCUCUUUUGACUAAAAGACAGUGUCCAGUGCUCCAGCCUAGAGGUCUAAGGGGACUGCCACCCACGCCGCCACCAUGCCCAACUUCUCUGGCAAUUGGAAAAUCAUUCGAUCAGAAAACUUCAAGGAUUUGCUCAAAGUGCUGGGGGUGAAUGUGAUGCUAAGGAAGACUGCUGUGGCUGCAGCGUCCAAGCCAGUAGUGGAGAUCAAACAAGAGGGAGACACUUUCUACAUCAAAACCUCCACCACCGUGUGCACCACAGAGAUUAACUUCAAGGCUGGGGAGGAGUUAGAGGAGCAGACUGUGGAUGGGAGGCCCUGUAAGAGCCUGGUGAAAAGGGAGAGUGAGAAUAAAAUGUUCUGUGAGCAGAAGCUCCUGAAGGGAGAGGGCCCCAAGACCUCAUGGACCAGAGAACUGACCAAUGAUAGGGAGCUGAUCCUGACCAUGAGGGCAGAUGAUGUUGUGUGCACCAGGGUCUACGUCUGAGAGUGAGUGGCUAUGGGUAGAACAGCGUCCGGAGCCCACCACUGGCCAGGCUCACUGCCCUGCUUCACUGCCCACUCCCUCCCACUCCCUUCUAGAAUAGUGCUCCCCUUACCCCAGUCACUUCUAGGGGUCACUGGGAUGCCUCUUGCAGGGUCUUGCUUUCUUUGACCUCUUCUUUCCUCCCACACACCAACAAAGAGGAAUGGCUUGCAAGAGCCCAGAUCACCCAUUCCGGUUCACUCCCUGCCUCCCCAAGUCAGCAGUCCUAGUCCCAAACCGGGCCAAAGCAGGGUCUCUCUAAAGGGGACCUGAGGGCCUGAGCAGGAAAGACUGGCCCUCUGGCUUCUACACUUUGUCCCUGUAGCCUAUACAGUUUAGAAUAUUUAUUUGUUAAUUUUAUUAAAAUGUUUU